rnacentral:lncRNA from 1 species
AAAAAAAUAGCAAUGCACUGCGUGAUCUAGGGCCAUCUCCUCUCAAAAUCACUGCACCAUGGAGCCGAGACCACCCUCCUGAACAGCUGGGUUUAAAUCCUAGGUCUGACACUACCUGUCCAACACUGGGCCCAUCGGACCCAAAGACCACAAAGUGAAGUUCUAUCAUUCAUUUCUCCCAACAGAUCUGUCCCAACCUGAGCUUUGAGCAACCCUCCAGG